rnacentral:rRNA from 1 species
UACGGAGGGUGCAACCGUUGCUCGGAAUCAUUGGGCGUAAAGCGCACGUAGGCGGUCCAGCAAGUCGGGUGUGAAAGCCCUCGGCUUAACCGAGGAAGUGCAUUCGAAACUACUGGACUUGAAUACUGGAGAGGAUCGCGGAAUUCCCGGUGUAGAGGUGAAAUUCGUAGAUAUCGGGAGGAACACCAGUGGCGAAGGCGGCGAUCUGGACAGAUAUUGACGCUGAGGUGCGAAAGCGUGGGGAGCAAACAGG